UACAGAGGGUGCAAGCGUUGCUCGGAAUCAUUGGGCGUAAAGGGUAGGUAGGUGGUCUCAUUUGUCUGGGGUGAAAGCCCAGGGCUUAACCCUGGAAGUGCCCCGGAAACGGUGAGACUGGAGUCUUGGAGAGGGUCGUGGAAUUCCCGGUGUAGCGGUGAGAUGCGUAGAGAUCGGGAGGAACACCAGAGGCGAAGGCGGCGACCUGGACAAGCACUGACACUCAACUACGAAAGCGUGGGGAGCAAACAGG
rnacentral:rRNA from 1 species